UUUGGGGUGGCUUACCUGGCAAGUCGAACGGUAACAGGUCUUCGGACGCUGACGAGUGGCGAACGGGUGAGUAAUACAUCGAGAACGUGCCCACUCGUGGGGGAUAACUACUCGAAAGAGUAGCUAAUACCGCAUACGAUCUGAGGAUGAAAGCGGGGGACCUUCGGGCCUCGCGCGAUUGGAGCGGCCGAUGGCACAUUAUGUAAUUGGUGGGAUAAAAGCUUACCAAGCCGACGAUCUGUAGCUGGUCUGAUAGGACGACCAGCCACACUGGGACUGAGACACGGCCCAGACUCCUACAGGAGGCAGCAGUGGGGAAUUUUGGACAAUGGGCGAAAGCCUGAUCCACCAAUGCCGCGUGCAGGAUGAAGGCCUUCGGGUUGUAAACUGCUUUUGUACGGAACGAAAAAGCUCCUUCUAAUACAGGGGGCCCAUGAGGGUACCGUAAGAAUAAGCACCGGCUAACUACGUGCCAACAGCCGCGGUAAUACGUAGGGUGCGAGCGUUAAUCGGAAUUACUGGGCGUAAAGCGUGCGCAGGCGGUUAUGUAAGACAGAUGUGAAAUCCCCGGGCUCAACCUGGGAACUGCAUUUGUGACUGCAUGGCUACAGUACGGUAGAGGGGGAUGGAAUUCCGCGUGUAGCAGUGAAAUGCGUAGAUAUGCGGAGGAACACCGAUGGCGAAAGCAAUCCCCUGGACCUGUACUGACGCUCAUGCACUAAAGCGUGGGGAGCAAACAGGAUUACAUACCCUGAUAGUCCGCGCCCUAAACGAUGUCAACUGGUUGUUGGGAAUUAGUUUUCUCAGUAACGAAGCUAACGCGUGAAGUUGACCGCCUGAGGAGUACGGCCGCAAGGUUGAAACUCAAGAAAAUUGACGGGAUUGACGGAA
rnacentral:rRNA from 1 species